rnacentral:rRNA from 1 species
UACGGAGGGGGCUAGCGUUGUUCGGAAUUACUGGGCGUAAAGCGCACGUAGGCGGCUUUGUAAGUUAGAGGUGAAAGCCCGGGGCUCAACUCCGGAACUGCCUUUAAGACUGCAUCGCUAGAAUUGUGGAGAGGUAAGUGGAAUUCCGAGUGUAGAGGUGAAAUUCGUAGAUAUUCGGAAGAACACCAGUGGCGAAAGCGGCUCUCUGGGACGGUACUGACGCUGAGACGCGAAAAGCGUGGGGGAGCGAACAGG